AUAGGUCCGCCAUUGGACAUGGAGAUCGACCGUGAUCCCAGCAGCGUUGAGCAGGGCCAGUCAACCCCCACGCCCUUAGUGCAAGGCGACUCAAGCCCGCGGUCCUGUUGGGCUAAUUGGCGGCGAUGGGUCCGCCCCGCCUUUUACGUGGCGUACGCUCUUCUCGUUAUUGCUACCAUCCCGCUGAUAAUUCUCGACCUCGUCCAUGCCAAAAAGCAGAAUAUUCAGGUCACGCUGGCUGCUGUUGGGUUCUUCGCUAUGGUCAUCUGUAUACCGAUAUCGCUAUGGGGUAUAAUCAAUCACAUCGUAUGCUACACGAGACCAGACCUCCAGAAGUACAUUAUCAGGAUAUUAUGGAUUGUACCAAUCUACGAGGUAAACUGUUGGUUUGCCCUGCGUUUUCCAGCAGCGGAGAUAUAUUUGGACACACUUCGCCAGCUCUACCAGGCCUACGUCAUCUACAAUUACGUCUUCUAUCUUUUGACAUUCUUCGAGGAGGUGCCGAAUUUCAAGGAGCGACUGCUCGCUAAACCUCUGAUCAAGUCCCCAGCACCAUGCUGCUGUGUCAAAGCGGUACCCAAUCAAAGGAUAAUCAACCGAUGCAGGAACGGUGUUCUGAACUAUACGGUCAUCCGAAUUAUCUUUUCAGGGAUUUCAUUAGUCACCGAUCUUCUUGGCAAGUUCGAGGAAGGAAACUAUUCACCCAAUUUUGCCUACCUAUGGGUGACAAUUUGUGUCACUAUUUCGCAGAUUUGGGCUAUCUUCUGCAUGGUUCUCCUCCGCAAGGCUACUCUACAAGAGCUCGAGAUGCUGCCCCGCUCAACGGCUCAAUUCGUUGGAAUACAGAUGGUGAUCUUCGUUAGUAACUUCCAGUCUGUCAUCCUCAAUCUCCUGGCCCAGUUCGGGGUCUUCGAGAGAUUCGAGGAUCCUUUUGCCUUUGCAACUAUGCUACAGGAUUUUCUGAUCUGCCUUGAGAUGGUCUUAGGCGCCGCUGUUUUCUCCUAUUCGUUCGACUAUCAGCGCUAUAACACCGACAGCGAGCAUAAGAUGAUACUGUCCAAGUCCUUCAAGCACAUGUUGAAUGUGUCUGAUGUCAAGAACAACAUUAUGGACCACCUCAGAUUUGGAGGACAUACCUUCCAGAGGAAUCAUAGCGAAGCCGCAGCCUGGGCAGAGCAACUCUCGCCCAGCACUCCUGAUUCUCCUACAUCCAUACAAGACUUUUUCCCACCGCGAGAUGCGGUUCUGAGACCUCGGAUCAAGACAUCUAGGAAACAGAAGCUCACCUGUCAGCCUGAUAUCGUCCUGAAUCAACAGGGCCGCCCAGACUCCCCAGUCGACGAGAUGCAUACUCCUGACGAGCAAAGCGGCAGGAAAAAACAAGACGGUGCUCUUCAAAAUCGCGGAUUUGAAUAUCCAGAGGAUCAACAAGUUUUGGAUCCCCAAGAGGAUGAUGUAAGCGGUGAUAUGGACGACCUGAUUGGUGAGGAGUUUCCCGUCGACGAUGAUGACAGCGACGAAGACAGUCAUCUACCCGUCGAUGCGCGGUUGGACAAACCCCCUGCCGCUCCACACCACAGACGGGUCAAAAAGGUCAGCUUCUCUGGGAUGAAUUUUGACGACAUGGACGUCGACCACAUCAAAAACCACCGAUCCCCGACAAUGGAUUCCGACUCUUUUGUUACCAAGGAAACGGAGAAGGGUACCACUGAGGGUAGUGAAGGAUUCGGUAGCUCGGAGGCGUAGAGCUCACAGGAUGCAUGACGCAGGGUCACGCGGCACGGCAUAGUGAACACCCGAGCGGCCUAGCCUACACUCUGUCACAGUUACGUUCAGUUUCGGCUGAUGGAUAUACACGUACAUGUAGUAGAGUUGGUGUCUAGGCCAAAAUAGUUCAUCCGUGAUCACCAGCAGUCCUUAAAAUCAAUAAAGUAUGGAAGAAGGAACACCUGAAAACUGAGAUGAGCCAAGCGAAGAAGGUGACCAAAAUUAAAGCGAUCCGAACACAAGUGGAGGCAUCCGAGUUUACCUCAGAUGGGCCCUCGCCGCUUUUUACACUUGUACAUAAUAAAUAGGUACAGUAAUUGGAUUUUUUUCAAGCAGCAAGAAAUUGAAACUUGACCUGAAAAUGUUGGUCGCACCACUCAGUGUAUUGUUUACUGUCUUUCGCAAUGACUCCUGAAUCUCUUAGUUGGCUGAUAUGAGAAAAUUGAUAUUUAUGGUCGACAAAAUGCCUAUUUCAGCUAGUGUGCAAGCAAGUUGGUGAGACAGCGCACUUCUUUGCAGGCACUUGGACCAAUCACUGAGGGCCAACGAUACAGCCAAGAGCUCCUUUGCCGUCUGAAUAUUGGGACUCGACCAGUCCACUUUCACAUCAUGGAAGUCAGCUCCGGUGCCGCUGACGUUGAGCCGGACCAGCCAGCUGCCAC
rnacentral:misc_RNA from 1 species